UCAUCAUGAUCGAGAUCACGAGAAAACGCGUUUCUCCAUUUUGUUCCCCUGCGGUUGCCGUAGACAGGAGAACACACGUGAAGUGCUGCAGCACGAUUAGGGUGAUGUAACUACAGCUUGCCAUGAAGCUAAUACUUCAGCUACAACAACAGAAGUAAACAUGGCAAAUCAGAUCCUCACUGUUGCACGAAAUGCUGUUCUGAGAGAAAGUGGUGCUCUCUCAGAGGACAUGCCACAGAUCAGAGGUUAUGAUUUUAAUCAGGGAGUAGACUACAAAGCUCUGCUGCAAUCCUACUACACCACGGGCUUCCAGGCUAGCAGUUUUGCCAUGGCUGUACAGGAGAUCAAUAAGAUGAUCGACAAACGUCUGGAGCCGGUGGAGGAGAAGGAACACACAUCUGACUCUGACCAGAGUCAAUCAGGAUGUACCAUUUUCCUCGGCUACACUUCCAACCUUAUCAGCUGCGGGGUCCGUGAGAGCAUCCGCUACCUUGUUCAGCAUAAAAUGGUGGAUGUGAUCGUGACGACAGCAGGAGGCAUUGAGGAAGAUCUCAUAAAAUGUUUGGCUCCCACCUUUCUGGGUGAGUUUAGUCUUCCAGGCAAAGAGCUACGACAGAGAGGCAUCAACAGAAUUGGCAAUCUGCUGGUCCCUAAUGGCAACUACUGCAAGUUUGAGGACUGGCUGAUGCCCAUCCUGGACCAGAUGGUGUUGGAGCAGAAAACAGAGGGCAAAUGUUGGACUCCCUCUAAAAUGAUCCACAGACUAGGAAAAGAAAUCAACAACCCUGACUCUGUUUACUACUGGGCUUAUAAGAAUGACAUCCCUGUGUUUAGUCCCGCCAUCACUGACGGUUCAUUGGGUGAUAUGAUCUAUUUCCAUUCCUACAAGAACCCAGGACUGGUCUUGGACAUUGUGGAUGAUAUCCGGAGGUUGAACUGUAAAGCUGUGUUUGCCAAAAGCACAGGCAUGAUCAUUCUAGGUGGAGGCCUUGUGAAGCACCACAUCGCCAAUGCCAAUCUUAUGAGAAAUGGUGCAGACUUUGCCGUGUACGUGAACACAGGGCAAGAGUUUGACGGCUCCGACUCAGGGGCCAGACCAGAUGAAGCUGUCUCUUGGGGGAAAAUCCGCAUGGAUGCCAAACCUGUUAAAGUAAUGUUAGACAUUACCUCUAACUACGAGUGGGAUGAUGCGUUGUGUAAAGAAGUAUAUGUAGGAACCUGACCACCUCACCAAUAUACUCCAGUCCAGUCUUCUCAUCCCACAUCAGUGCCCAACUUCCCUAAUGCUUUGGUGUAUGACUGGACAGAAAUCUCCACAGCCACGUUUCAAUAUCUAGUAUGAAGAGUUCAAAGAAGAGGCUGUUACGGCAACAAAGAGGAGACAAACUUACUUUAUUGCCUGUUGUUUUGGGAAGAUCAACAAGCAAACACGGGUGUGAUGGUCUAUGCAGAUGCCUCUUUAGUCUUUCCCCUGCUUGUGGCUGAAACGUUUGCACAUCAAGCCAGCAAACUGAUGUCGGAUAAAAAGUGACUGUCAACGCCUGCUAUUUUUUCCUGUGGUUUCUUGUUCUUUUUCACAUCAACUUCAUCUCCUGUUGGGUUUUAUUUUUAAUUACUUUUUUAUUCUGGUAUGUUUUUGUCCCGGACUCCACCUACCUCUUCACAGCUGCCCAAUUAUUUUAUACAUAUUGCAUAUGUAAUUUGGUUUAGAACAUCGAGGCACGUUUUUAUUAUGUGCGCGCAUGCGUGUGUGUGUGUGUGUGUAUGUAGGUGUGUGUGGGGGAUUAUGGCUCCAUUUAUGUCAAACAUUCAGGUUUAUAGUUGUAAAACAUCUGUAAACAUUCAAUCCUCCUCUGUGCAAGAGCUUUAUCAUCGGAGAAUUACAGAUUUUACGUCAUUUAAUAAAUUGAUGUGAGGAGUUAAUGUAGUAAAAAUUAAGAGUUGCAGUUUUCUUUAAACAUUUCUGAAACUUCUGCUAUUCGGUGUAUGUGAUUUCAAAACAUUAACCAGGUUGUGGCAUCAUGCUGAUAAUGGUGUUAUUCAGUGAUGAUAUGGGAAAGGGCUGAAAUGUAUCAGUGCAUCAACAUAGAAACUAAUAAAAUUAGACUAUAUUA